rnacentral:misc_RNA from 1 species
AAUUGAAUAAAUUUAAUUAAACAUCAUAAAUAAACGAAGAAUUUAUAAUAGUAAUAACAAUGGUGAUGAUAAUUAAUAAACAAUAACCAUAAGUAAAAAUCAAAUCAAUAGCAUGUACGUAAUCGUCACCAUCACCCAAAGGUAAAAGAAAAAGUAGCAAAACGAAUAAUAAACAUCAACGAGUAAGAUGAACUAAAAAUAUAAAAAUCCUAAAAUCAUAAACAUCCCUCUCUCCAGCAAAUCCAAAUGCAAAUAUCUCCUCAGAUCUAAAACAGCAAAGACGCAGCGAAGAUAGCUACGACGGCAGAUCCAGCAACAGCGACUCUGUUCAAGGAUGCAGCAUUUGGAGAGGAAGUUGGAGAACCGCUUGGUGUAGCACCGAUGGACGGAGCAAGAGCACCACCGGCGGUAGGAGCAGAAGCCGGAGUCUCAACGGUUGGUGGAGCUGGUGGAGAUGAAACUGGAGAAUCAGAAGGUGAACUUGCAGCAGGAGAUACUGAAGGAGCAGAUACUGGGGUAACAACAGGAGUUGGAGGUUUUGCUACCGGUACCGGAGACGGUUUCGGUGAAGCUACCGGAGAAGCUCCCGGAGCUUGAGCAAAAGCAGAUCCGGCGACCAAAGCGAACAUGAAAGCAACAACGAUAAUCUUCGAGUAAGCCAUUGUCUUCUCUUUCUCUCUCUAGAACUUUUCUGUAUAUUGUGAUAUUUGUUUGUUUUUUUUUUGUAGAGAGAGAAAGUAUAUGUAUUUUUGUAGAAGAAGAGUUGUAGAGACCGAGAGAGGAAACAAAAAUGGUGUCACUGAAACUUCAGAAGCGGCUCGCCGCCAGUGUUCUAAAGUGUGGGAGGGGAAAAGUAUGGCUUGACCCUAACGAAGGCAAUGAAAUCUCCAUGGCUAACUCAAGGCAAAACAUCAGAAAGUUGGUGAAGGAUGGUUUCAUCAUCAGG